GGCGUGCGGAAAAUAUCUCCGUUCCGAAGGCUCGAGACCCCUCGCCUGCUUCGCCCGGCAGAGCGCCGCCUUCCCCGUCUACCUCUCGCUCUCCCACGUCCAUUCGGCCGCUUCGCCUUGCAGAUCGCCGUCUUCCUCAUCUCCCUCUCCCUCUCACACAUGCACACGGCCGCAUUGCCGCAUUCAUUUCUCAUCUUCUCGUGCACCUAUGUUCUUUCCCUCGUCUUCCUCAGUCAGCAAGAUCGACGGCGGCGGCGGCGGCGGCUCCCUUCGGCGGAUUGCCCACGGGAGGGGAUCCUCGGCUAAUCUAGUGGCCAGGGUGGCCGAGCUCGCCGGCCCACUGCUUGUUGUGGAUUCAGAUUGAUUCUAUUCCAAUUAUUUAUUUUGAUUUCCUAGAAUAGAAUGAGCCUGAGCAGCAGCUGGAUUGGCUGCUCGGUGUCCGUGCUGAUAUGGGUGCUGAAGCUUUAGGUGUAGGAAAUUUGGGUUGUCCACUACUUACGUGUAUAUCUUUACUUGGUCAAUUUUAUUUAUGUGAAGAGAUUUUUCAUUUGUAGAUAAAACUACAUGCCAGAAUGCGGAGUCGUCAGCUGCAGCAAUUGCCACCCGUGAAGUAGUCCACAAGUAUCCUUGGGCUGCCUGCCCCGGCAUCUAGCUGCACAUGAGGCCUCGUUGCCAAAGAGGCCAUCAAGGAUGUUCCUGAAAUCUAAAUACAUCGAAUUGCCGCAGCAACAACGAUCAAUCAGCCAUCAAUGGGUUCGAUGCUAUGUGCCGCAUUGAGCUAGGUGGCAAGCAUAUGGCUUCCUAUUGCUGAGUUUGGAGAAGACCUGGACAAAAUUGUUUGAACAUCUGUUUUCUUUUCCCUCAAAUGAAACUUUGGUGCUGAUAUAUCAAUUGCUUAUUCAUACCUUGCUUUUUCUAUUCUUUGAGUUAGCCUCCCUGUUCCCCAUGUUUAGAACGCAAGAAUUGUUCACAUUCUGAUGCAUACUGCACAUGUUACAUCUUCGUUUAAGUUGGGUUGUACCGUUGUAGCAAUGGUACUUUGUUUAAUUACCCAGCUAAUAUUUGAUUUGUGGUGAUGUUAUAUAGUCCGGAAACAAGGCUCUUUUCUUAUAUCAAGAAGAAAAAGUGCCUUCUGUUUUAUCCCCGUUCAUGCUGGCUCUUUUUCCAUGUGUCAAUAAUCUGAAUGUUCUUUUCCUAACUUUUGAAUUUUCCUUUCAGAUUGAAGGUUGUACUAGGUAGUGUAAGUCUCUGUGCAGAUUUUCUACUGAUAGUACCAGAUAAGUCAAUGCUUGCAGCGUGUAACUUCCAGGCGUAUGCGCCGCUGGGCAGGAUGAAAGUCGUUGCAAAUAACCCGGUGGUGACAUCAAUAGCCGAGAGCUUGGGGAAGACUCCAGCGCAAGUUGCUCUACGGUGGAAGUUGCUCUACGGUGGGGGAUCCAACAGGGUCAGAGCGUGCUUCCUAAAAGUGCCAAUGAGUCAAGGUUGAAGGAGAACAUCGACCUGUUUGGUUGGUCUAUUCCUGAGGAACUGUGUGCCAAGUUUUCUGAAAUUGAACAGGUUAAGCAAAUCAGAAACGAUUCCUUCGUGCACCCUCAGGGUAUGUACAAAACAAUUGAGGAGCUCUGGGACGGUGAGAUCUGAAUGAAAAUCAUCGCCGGUAUGAAAUCGAAUCCGUGAUCAGUGUUGAAACUGAUGCCACUCUCUAAUGCUGAAGCUAGACAUUUCCAAGGUUUUCGACUCUGUGCGUUGGGACUACUUGCUAGACCUACUGCAACGCCGAGGAUUCCCGCCGAGAUGGAGAAGCUGGGUCACAACUUUACUAACCACUGCCACAUCCAAGGUCCUCAUGAAUGGCAUGCCGGGAGAGGACAUCCAGCAUGGCAGAGGUCUCCAACAAGGGGAUCCGCUAUCACCACUUCUUUUCAUCCUAGCAAUCGACCCUCUGCAAAAAUUACCGCACCUUGCGACUGAAAACAGGACUCUAUCAAAACUAGAGGCAAAAGUGCUCGGCUACGCCUAUCUUUAUACGCAACAAUUUUCAUAAACCUGACGGCAACAGACGUGCGAAACAUCACAGACCUGCUGGACAAAUUUGGCUGCAUCACAGGCCUAAGCACUAACAUUCAGAAAAGCACGGUGGCUCCCAUCCGUUGUAAUGGAAUCGACCUAGAUUCGAUCCUAGCUCCCUUCCCGGCAGCUAGAACAUCAUUUCCGGUCAAAUACAUGGGCCUACCUCU